rnacentral:rRNA from 1 species
CUAUCGUACCUUGUUGCUUCGGCGGGCCCGCCGUUUCGACGGCCGCCGGGGAGGCCUUGCGCCCCCGGGCCCGCGCCCGCCGAAGACCCCAACAUGAACGCUGUUCUGAAAGUAUGCAGUCUGAGUUGAUUAUCGUAAUCAGUUAAAACUUUCAACAACGGAUCUCUUGGUUCCGGCAUCGAUGAAGAACGCAGCGAAAUGCGAUAAGUAAUGUGAAUUGCAGAAUUCAGUGAAUCAUCGAGUCUUUGAACGCACAUUGCGCCCCCUGGUAUUCCGGGGGGCAUGCCUGUCCGAGCGUCAUUGCUGCCCUCAAGCACGGCUUGUGUGUUGGGCCCCCGUCCCCCUCUCCCGGGGGACGGGCCCGAAAGGCAGCGGCGGCACCGCGUCCGGUCCUCGAGCGUAUGGGGCUUUGUCACCUGCUCUGUAGGCCCGGCCGGCGCCAGCCGACACCCAACUUUAUUUUUCUAAGGUUGACCUCGGAUCAGGUAGGGAUACCCGCUGAACUUAAGCAUAUCAAUAAGCGGAGGA